UGGUACACCAUACCUCAAUCCAAAGUUAGCGUGAAGUGGCUCUGAAGUCCGCAGCAAUCAUAAUUUUUUAAUUGAAGCGCUUUCCUGCAAAUAAAUUGAUCAACAUCAUUUGAUCACUAACCUAUCACGAGAGUUUCCAGACGUAUAUACAGACCUAUAUAUGACCGAGAUCAGGAGUCCGGACUCCAAAUGUGGAACACGAAAAGGCAUUGAAUGUCACGGCUAUUAUUUGCCUCGUGGUACUUGCCUUCGAAUUGGAACCAAAUGUCCAACCAUUAUUGGUCUCGGAGGAAAACCCUAAUGACCAAUGAAAUUUAAUGUCAGAAGAAUUAUAUUCCACGUAUAAAUUGAAUACUUACUCCAUAAUAAACAGGAACAGGAAUGGGUUCAAUAUAAUGUGAUGAAGGCAGUGUACGUUCUCCAGACUUAUCCCUUUCUCUUCUUUCUCGGAAUCGCUCUCUCGAUCUUUCUCGAUAAGGUCUUUCGUGUUUAGAUGAUUUGUUGCUUCAAUAAUAUUUAUAACAUUUAGUUUUCAAGAAACAUCAUUUUACAUUAUUUCAUAUGUUUUAUUAUGUACCUGUUGUGACAAUCUUUGGCCCAUGCUCUUUGUUCUCCUUCCCUUGAAUGUGAAUUAUCUCUAUGACUUUUUCUUUUUCGCAGAUGCUUUUCCUCUGCAGUGUGCAAUUGACUAUGUGGCCUGACUUUUUCUUUAUACUCUCUACUUCCACCUCUACUAUGAUCUCUGUCUCUAAAUAAAUUAUACAACACUACAAUAAAACUGAAAAAUAAACAUAUUAAACAAAUAUACAAAAUUAUAACAAA